rfam:Terribacillus aidingensis strain MP602, complete genome.
AUAAAAAAAGCCUGCAGGGAAGAGCCCUGCAGGCGCCUUUUGUUUCCAAUGAAAACAAACAGGCAAAGGGAGAGGAGAAACCGGAGGAAGAGCUUAUGGGGAAACGUAAGUCUUCUCCGUGU